UCCCUGCUGUCCCCUCACCCUGCCUUCAGUCCUGGAGAAGACGUCUCUUUCAGCUGCUUUCCAGGCUCCACACCAGCAUUGGCUUUGACUUGUACAGGAGCAGUGCAGGGAGCCCCACUGUGACCCGGACACAGACCACAGUGGAGCUGAGGGUGUCUGACCUGGACUCCUCACACCAGGGCAGCUACAGCUGUCAGUACAGAGUCCAGGGAAGAGGGCAGAACUUCAGCUCUCCUCGCAGCGACUCCAUAGACAUAACAGUGGAUCAAUGGAAUGGCUGUUCAGUCAGAGAGCACCUACAGUGGCUCCGUCACCUUCUCGGUUCCUGCUGCACAGUAUUCCCACAUGGGGAAUUAUACCUGCAGCUAUGAGGCUGAAGUGUUCAAUCGGACGUUUGUCUCACCUUCAAGUGCUUUGAUGCCCCUAACUGUGAGAGAGUCCCUGCUGAAGCCUAUAGUCCUGCGGUGAUGUUAGUGGUGCUGUUGCUGUUGAUCCUUUUCAUCCUCUUCCUGCUGUGUAACAAAAAGAAGAGAAAACAAGAGAAGGG